rnacentral:tRNA from 1 species
GCCGUGGUGGUGUAACGGUAGCACACUCGACUUGUAUUUGAGCAAUCCAGGUUCGAGCCCCGGCGAGAGCA